AGGCGUGGGGGUUGAAGACGGGAAAACGGCAACACCCGCUCGUUAAACCUAAAACAAACACAUUCGUAAUCCAGGGCUCCUGAAAAGAUUCUUCCUCUUCAAAGCGGAAAUUCAAAGGAGAAGGCUUUCACCACAGUUCCCAGAAUUGCCUGGGGCCUCUCUCCUGGCAAGCCCAGGAUGGUGCCAUAGUCUUCCUUCAGGAGUCAAUUAGGCAUGCAAGACGUGCCAAUCAAGGCUCGCCCAGCGUGACGCGUGCGAAGGCGGGCGGGAGGGAGGGCUCCUUUCAGAGGCCGUGACACAGACUUCUCACAGCAUUACAAACGUUAAACAUGAUUUCUGACACAUGCCGAACCCCAGCCACUGCAGUUCUGCAGGGAUGUGGGAGGCGUAUCAAAUAACCGCACGCUGGGCCUCGGCCAGCAUUUCGCUCAUCUAUCACGUCUGGGGGCGACCGCACCGAACAACUGGAGGUCAGCUUUUUCUCCUCUGCGUCUGUCACUCCGGGCCCUGGGCUCUCUAGCCAAUCAUAGAAGCUUUCCCCAUGAUUCACUGGGUGUGGUGUGUCCCAAUACUGAGACAGGAGGAGGUACUGUUUUUUUGGUUUUUUUGAAGAAUGCUAUAUUUACUUAUACUCUACUAAAAAACAUGUAUUUUAGUGUCAUGAAAGGUGAAGCAAAAACCAUUUCCUGUUUUUGUACUGUGUCAUAUUCAUUGAGUUUAUUUGUGUAAUUUCAGGUUGCAGUUCAAAGUUGUUGUGAAACGCAAACAAACUAUGUACUAUUAACUGCUAAUGACAAUUUAUGAAACUGGUGCCAGAGAUGUAAUCAGGCUAAAUAAAGCUAAAGCAGAACAUUUUGCCAGCAAUUCAGUUUUGAUAUUCAGGCUGUCAUUUGAGGGUGUGUAUGAGCGCUACCUUGGAAAAGUGGGAGUAGGAGACGUUGUCAUUGCGACAACACAUUAACUCAUCAUACAGUAUGUGUGCAUAUGGAUAUUUAACAAUUAUGAAAUAAAUAAACUGUAGUGGUCUGUAACUGAGUUGUAUUAAAUUCAUGGUAGGUCCUUCUUAAUUGAUUUCUAUUUUUUACAAAGUAGUAUCUUGACUAGAAUGUCAGAAAACAUAAGUGUGUCUUGCCAUAAAAUACCUGGGUAGGUUAAUUUGACAGUUUUGACUGACAGUUGGUUUGUACCUUUGAACUCUGAUUCUGGUUCAAUGACAGAGGAUGCCUUCAAUUCCACUGUGACAUUCAGACCAUUAAAACAGACUGCUAUAAAAAUUAAUACAUGAAUUUAUUUGAAAAUAAGUGUUAUUGUCCAUGUCUUCUAAAUCAAUCCAUAUCAUGUUUUUACGCAUUCGAAAAACUGGCUGCUCUUUUUCACCAUAAUAAUAUUUUCCACUUAUUUUAAGGAUGCAUAUUUGAGAAAGAAUGUGAUAGUGUAGUGGUGUUUGGGAAGAAGGAACAUAGUCCAGACAGAAAAUCUUUUGGUGAAAUACACAUUUGGAGAAAAAUGAUUUUGAACAUUUUCAUUCUGAGAUAACUGCAGGUAGAUAUCCAGCCUAAAGUAUUACUGAAAAUGACAAGCUAAAGCUCCCUUUAACACGAGGCGGUGCUUUUAAAACAUCUGUCAUGUUUGCUAUUUCU